ACACCUCAACUCUCAUGGUUUUACCAUGAUGAGCUUGGACUUUGGGGGUCUUGCUGGCCAGUGGUCAGCUCCUCUCAAAUGAAUCAGCUUGCCAGUGUUUGGUGGCAUCACAGGUGUGAUAACUAUCUACGCUUGUGGUUUCCUGCCAGGUAUCCUUCAGCAAUGAAGGGUCGCUGGAGCUUAUAAAUGUCUCUCCCCCAGUGAGGACAACCUCUUGAAGU
rnacentral:misc_RNA from 1 species